UGCAUUGUGAAAAUCUUAAUGAGAUACUUUCCUUGACCUAUAUUGUGAACUUGAUGAAUUCUUGAUUAUACCUGCCUCAAAGUUUUUUUUUUUUUUUUUUUUCUGGUAAUGUCUUUCUGAGUGUCCAUCACUGGGUGCAUGUUAUGUUCCCUAUAACUUCAUAAGACCAGAGCAUUGACAUGGCAAGUUAUAUGGGAAGAGGAGACCCUUUAAAUGGUUCUGUGUACGUCUGUAACUUACCUCCUGGAACUGCUGAGAGUAUGCUGGCUGAAUUUUUUUGGCACCAUAGGGUUGCUAAAGGUGAUGACUUGACUUGUAGCUGAUUCUACAGGAUAUUAAUCUUAAACCCAGAUGACUAGAGCAUGUGAAUCAACGUGCAUGGGUCUCACACUACAAGAAAAUGAAGUUUUACCGGCCCAUUUUUUACCGCAGGCACAUUUUUUAAAGAAAGCUCAGGGUCUUUGUCUUCUCUCUCCGAAAGGUUCUCUGAUGGGCAGGUAAUAUAUCGAGAUUUCAAGGCAUCUAAUGUUCUGUUAGAUAAGGAGUUUAAGCCCAAGCUGUCGGACUUUGUACUAGCCAGGGAGGGACCAUCUACGGGGCACACUCAUGUGUCCACAGUGUGUGGUGAAUGGGGCUCUGGAAUACCUUUAUAAGGAUCUUGCGAUUGCUGAGAACACCGUGCUACAAGGAAAGUGCAGCAAUGAUGCAUUUCUUUGAUCAUGAUGCAAAUCAGCAUUUAUUAUUCAUAUCUGUCCAAUUAAACUAAGUGUCAUGGCAUGCUACAAUUAACCUAUUUUAACCUUCUGACCCUACAAUUUCAUUCAAUCCACACUUGUUCACGCCUUGUAAGUUGUAACAGAGUUUCAUAUGAUCUCCAUUGUUUAUCUUUCAAGUGUUCAACAUUACAAUUUCUCAUAACAUUUAAAUUUUUGGACAAGAUGGGUUAUUAGCACAACCCUUGUAGGUGCCACUGUUGGUUCAUUUACCGGGGGAGCAUUAGCUGAUAAAUUCGGUAGAACAAGGACUUUUCAACUAGAUGCAAUCCCACUUGCAGUUGGAGCA